rnacentral:rRNA from 1 species
UCGAGCGAACAGACGAGGAGCUUGCUCCUCUGACGUUAGCGGCGGACGGGUGAGUAACACGUGGAUAACCUACCUAUAAGACUGGGAUAACUUCGGGAAACCGGAGCUAAUACCGGAUAAUAUAUUGAACCGCAUGGUUCAAUAGUGAAAGACGGUUUUGCUGUCACUUAUAGAUGGAUCCGCGCCGCAUUAGCUAGUUGGUAAGGUAACGGCUUACCAAGGCAACGAUGCGUAGCCGACCUGAGAGGGUGAUCGGCCACACUGGAACUGAGACACGGUCCAGACUCCUACGGGAGGCAGCAGUAGGGAAUCUUCCGCAAUGGGCGAAAGCCUGACGGAGCAACGCCGCGUGAGUGAUGAAGGUCUUCGGAUCGUAAAACUCUGUUAUUAGGGAAGAACAAAUGUGUAAGUAACUAUGCACGUCUUGACGGUACCUAAUCAGAAAGCCACGGCUAACUACGUGCCAGCAGCCGCGGUAAUACGUAGGUGGCAAGCGUUAUCCGGAAUUAUUGGGCGUAAAGCGCGCGUAGGCGGUUUUUUAAGUCUGAUGUGAAAGCCCACGGCUCAACCGUGGAGGGUCAUUGGAAACUGGAAAACUUGAGUGCAGAAGAGGAAAGUGGAAUUCCAUGUGUAGCGGUGAAAUGCGCAGAGAUAUGGAGGAACACCAGUGGCGAAGGCGACUUUCUGGUCUGUAACUGACGCUGAUGUGCGAAAGCGUGGGGAUCAAACAGGAUUAGAUAUCCUGGUAGUCCACGCCGUAAACGAUGAGUGCUAAGUGUUA